GACGAACGCUGGCGGCGUGCUUAACACAUGCAAGUCGAACGGAAAGGCCCUGCUUUUGUGAGGUGCUCGAGUGGCGAACGGGUGAGUAACACGUGAGUAACCUGCCCUUGACUUUGGGAUAACUUCAGGAAACUGGGGCUAAUACCGGAUAGGAGCUCCUGCUGCAUGGUGGGCGUUGGAAAGUUUCGGCGGUUGGGGAUGGACUCGCGGCUUAUCAGCUUGUUGGUGGGGUAGUGGCUUACCAAGGCUUUGACGGGUAGCCGGCCUGAGAGGGUGACCGGCCACAUUGGGACUGAGAUACGGCCCAGACUCCUACGGGAGGCAGCAGUGGGGAAUAUUGCACAAUGGGCGGAAGCCUGAUGCAGCAACGCCGCGUGCGGGAUGACGGCCUUCGGGUUGUAAACCGCUUUCGCCUGUGACGAAGCGUGAGUGACGGUAAUGGGUAAAGAAGCACCGGCUAACUACGUG
rnacentral:rRNA from 1 species